GACGAACGCUGGCGGCGUGCCUAAUACAUGCAAGUUGAGCGCUGAAGGUUGGUACUUGUACCGACUGGAUGAGCAGCGAACGGGUGAGUAACGCGUGGGGAAUCUGCCUUUGAGCGGGGGACAACAUUUGGAAACGAAUGCUAAUACCGCAUAAAAACUUUAAACACAAGUUUUAAGUUUGAAAGAUGCAAUUGCAUCACUCAAAGAUGAUCCCGCGUUGUAUUAGCUAGUUGGUGAGGUAAAGGCUCACCAAGGCGAUGAUACAUAGCCGACCUGAGAGGGUGAUCGGCCACAUUGGGACUGAGACACGGCCCAAACUCCUACGGGAGGCAGCAGUAGGGAAUCUUCGGCAAGGGACGAAAGUCUGACCGAGCAACGCCGCGUGAGUGAAGAAGGUUUUCGGACCGGAAAACUCUGUUGGUAGAGAAGAACGUUGGUGAGAGUGGAAAGCUCAUCAAGUGACGGUAACUACCCAGAAAGGGACGGCUAACUACGUG
rnacentral:rRNA from 1 species